CAUUAGUGAAUUUGUAGCCUUCAAGGCUCACAUUCUCUAUCCUUUACACACCUGUGCACCCUUCUGAAGCGGAGAGUUAUUAGGCAUUAGCCGAGCGCCUCCCUUCGGUUAUUAUAUCAAACUCUAACCACGUUUACUAGAAUGUAUUACCGUCUUGUUGUAACGACAAGUACAAUCCAAUAAAACUUUCAGCAACGGAUCUCUUGGCUCAGGCAUCGAUGAAGAACGCAGCGAAAUGCGAUAAGUAAUGUGAAUUGCAGAAUCCAGUGAAUCAUCGAAUCUUUGAACGCAACUUGCGCCCUCUGGUAUUCCGGAGGGCAUGCCUGUUUGAGUGUCGUGAACACCUCAACCCUCCAAUGUUUUUUGCAUUGAAGGCGUUGGUAGUGAGCGUUGCCGGUCUUUUGGAUCGGCUCGCUUUAAAAUCAUUAGCUGGAUCCAUUCUGACCUGGUUCUACUCGGCGUAAUAAGUUAUUAUCGUCGAGGACGCCUGGCCUUGUAGGCAGGGCGGCCACAGUAAGGGUGUUUGAACCGCUUCCAACACGUCUUGCUCUUGCAGCAAACACUUGAACCUCUGACCUCAAAUCAGGCAGGACUACCC
rnacentral:rRNA from 1 species